GACUGGUCACAAAAGGCUGGUAUAGGUGCUGUCCUCCCAAGUCUAGCUGCAGUCUACUCAUACUGCCUCCUCACUUCAUCACAUCUACCUCUCACCCCAGACUCACCACACUCCAGUUAACCUAAUGACUUUGGCAGCCAAGAAUUUACCUUCUCUCUGGGCAACUUCUACAAACCUGGAUCAUUAUUCCUAACACAAAUUUCUCCUGCUAUUAUAUACGAUCUUCUUUAAUAUUCAAAAGAAUGAAUAACAGAUGUUUCCAGUAAGGAAUAUUGGAGAAGGAUUACCUCGUGAUGACCAUGUGCUAGAUUCCUGUUUAAAAAUCCCUAUUUCCAGACCAUUUCAUAUGGAAAAACCACAUCAACAAGAAAAUUAGUUUCCUCAGAAGAGAGGGUUAUAUCCAACAGGAGACAACGCCAAAGAACUGCAAAGAUGAUAAGAAGUAGAGAUGGGGUUUCGCCAUGUUGACCAGGCUUCUCUCGAACUCCUGCCUCAGGUGAUCUACCCACCUCAGCCUCCCAAAGUGCUGGGAUUACAGGCAUGAGCCACCGUGCCUGGCCUCAGGUAUGUCUAUUAGCAGCGUGAGAUCAGAUGAAUGUACUACGGUAAGUUCUUUACAUGCAGAAUAUCAUGUGGUCAUUGUAAACUAUCAGUUUUACAGUUAAGAAAACUGAGACUCAAAAGGGUAAGGUAAUAAUUAGAGCCAAAUUCAGGAGCCAAGCCAAGUUACAUCUGACUCCAAAGUCUUGCUUUAAGCACCUUCCCAUGCUAAUCUAAUGAUUCAGUGUAUUGAUCCAAGAGAAAUAAAGUCAACAUUAUUUUAUUUAUCCCUCAAUUACGUGAGUGCCUUCUAAGAGCUGAGGGCACAACAAUGAAGAAAACAGGCAGGUGCCUUGGUCACAGAGAACUAACAAACCAGUGGGGAUAGAGAAUCUCCAGAAUGAGAAUCCAUCAGACUCCAAUCAGUCCCUAAAUUCCACAAAGGCAGAAAUAGGAGCUUUUUAUUUAUUCAAGUAAUUUUUUUCUUUCACUAAGCCCAAAACACAGUUUAAUCAUGUGCUGAGUCCUCUGCUCUGUUAAAAGCCAAAAUUAAACCUCUCUCUCCCUUUCAGACAGAGAGCUCUCUCCCCACUAAAAAUCAUUUGACGGAAAAUUCCAAACAAAGAUUAUGCAUAAGAAUUUGCCAUUCUCUAUCCAUUCAGCUCUAGAGAAAAUAGGUUUAGGACAUCCUUGACAGGAAAUUUGAAGUUCUCAUAUCCCAGACCUCCAAUCACACAGAGAAUGAUGAGAGGUAUCAAAAUGCUACAAAAUAAUAAAGAGGCUGCAGAAACAGUUGUCUGAUGAAACAGCUGCCACCUGUACAUGAACUGUCUCAUACAUUAUGAAGAACAUAGGAGAGCAAGAAAAUCCCCUGGAUUAGGACAUAAAAGAUAGUAUUUCAAAAGUCACAGCUUUAUCACUUAGUGGUUGUGACCCUGGGCAAGUCAAUUAACCCUCUCAGAAUCUCCAUUUCUUCACCUAUUAAAUGAGAAUAAUAGCUUUCCUGCCUACCCCACAGAAUCGCAAUAACUAAAAUAAUACACCUGGAAAGGCACUGUAAACUGUCAAGAUUACCCAUUAAGCUUGGUAUCCAAUUUCACCCAUGUCUAGCUGUUAGAGGUCAAACCUUUGGUUAGAAAUAUAGGUACUUAGUAGACAGCACAUCACAACAUCCCCAUCCAUGUCAUAAUGCCCCGUUACCAAGUGCCACACCAGUAGAAGCACAGACACUGAAGGGGCAAAACCUGAUCCCUGUGAUCCCUCCAAGAGAUGGUGCUGGAGCUUCCUCUUUUUCAAUUUCCAUCUUUAUUAUUUUGCUUCUUAGCCACAGAACCAAGUAGCUACCUUAUUUAUUUACAGUCACACAUUUCAUUUUUGAGCACAUUUCUUAUAGUUAUAUUGCACAAAUGCCCCCCAUCCUCACCCUAGCAGGUGUAGUGUGACUUUAUACUCUGAUAUAUGGAAGGACUCUAAACCUGUAACAGGGAAGGGGCCAGGCUUCUCCCCUCUCUAUCUAUGCUGCUACUACCAGUGAGAGUUUAGCUAACAAAAAUGCCUAGCAAAAGUACGAAUAGAAAAUUUAGCUGAUAGCAAUUCAAGCACUAUUGAAAUAUUCUGAGUGAAUGCUCAAUCAUAUAAUGUGAUGAAUGCUACAUUUAUGUAGCUAAGUAUAGAGACUUAGUUGCUAGUAGAUCUGAUUUGAAAAUUACCCAAACAUCAUGGCCCUUCACGUUGAUGUGUGCCCACUUCCCAAUACAAGCUCAAGAUGCCCAUAAUGUCUGAAGCACACUAUUUCAAUUAUGCUGCAAUAGGUAAAAGCCUGGGUUAUCUGGAUCAAGCUAUGCAUGUUCUUACGGAUGCUCCAGCAUGUGACCUUGAACAAGUAUCUAUGCGACCUUCAGCAAGUCACUUAACUUCCUGAGUCUCAGCUGCCUCAUGUAAAAUGAAGAUAAUAGUACCUACUUCUUAAGGCCAUUAUGAGGAAGAAAUGAGAUAAUCCAGGUAAAGUAUGUAACUCUGUACCUGACAUUAUGCUACAUGUUCAGGAAAUACUAACAGCUAUCUAUUACAAUCGACUGAUCAUCAACUAAGAUAUGCAAGGUCUUAUUUUUCUAAAUAGGUAAGUGGAUGUAAAAGAACGUCUAAUUCCUCUCAGGUCUACUUAAUUUUACUUGCUAAACAUAAAUUCAAACAGGGAGUACUGAAGGAUAAAUUUUCAAAAAGUAUGACCUCUUCCAUCUAAACGUGCCAGCAGCAACAUGAAGUAUGAGUGACCAAUUUGCUUAGAAACCAUUCAACAGCAAAAUAACCACUCAAGAUAAAUCAGGAUUUGGGUAGCAGUUGUAGCACAGAACUGAAUUCUUAGCAGCUCCCACAUUAAUGCAGAAAAUACCUGACAGGAAAUGAUGAAAAAGCAAAGGAAGACCAGGCUACAGACAACAGAGGGCAACUCUCAGGAGUAACAAGGGUCAGAAACAGAUAUUAGGAUCAUGGUAAAAAUUCCCAUUGCAGUACAUGUGAGAAUGCUGAAGAGAAGAGAACGGUCUUCUCUUCUCUUCAGGAAAAGCAGUAUGGUCAUGAAAGAUCAAAAGGACUUGCUAGAGGUUUAAAGCAAUCCUAAAAACUAUUUUAUUAUUUUAUUUUAUUUUAUUUAUUUUUGAGACAGAGUCUCACUGUGUUGCCCAGGCUGGAGUGCAGUGGUGUGAUCUCAGCUUACUGCAAUCUUUGUCUCCCGGAUUCAAGCGAUUCUCCUGCCUCAGUAUCAAGAGUAGCUGGGACUACAGGCAUGUGCCACCAGGCCUGGCUAAUUUUUUUCAUAUGUUUAGUAGAGACGGGGUUUCACCUUAUUAGCCAGGAUGGUCUCAAUCUCCUGACCUCAUGAUCUGCCCACCUCGGCUUCCCAAAGUGCUGGGAUUACAGGUGUGAGCCACCGUGCCCAGCCCUGAUGUCCUUUUUAAAUGACAAAGUAUUAAAAAGAUGUUGGAGAUGUGAAUGGAAGCCCUAGCCUGGAACUCCACCCUAACUCAUUUCCUGCCACUCCCUAUCUCCCUUGUUACCUUGCAACAAUACAAGAUGCAGACACUUUUGCUAUAGCAGUUGUUUUGAAAACAUGAAUUUGUUCCAAUGCAAUUGUUAUAUUAGGCAACAAUUGAAGCAUAACCAAAUUUCGCACUUGCUCAUAUGCAAUUUCAUCUUUGGAAAACACCUAGGUGAACAAAGAAAACUGUGCCUGCAGAAGCAAACCAUGUAGGAAUAUG